GACGAACGCUGCGGCGUGCCUAAUACAUGCAAGUGGGACGCAAGGGAACACACUGUGCUUGCACACCGUGUUUUCUUGAGUCGCGAACGGGUGAGUAACGCGUAGGUAACCUGCCUAUUAGCGGGGGAUAACUAUUGGAAACGAUAGCUAAUACCGCAUAAUAUUAAUUAUUGCAUGAUAAUUGAUUGAAAGAUGCAAGCGCAUCACUAGUAGAUGGACCUGCGUUGUAUUAGCUAGUUGGUAAGGUAAGAGCUUACCAAGGCGACGAUACAUAGCCGACCUGAGAGGGUGAUCGGCCACACUGGGACUGAGACACGGCCCAGACUCCUACGGGAGGCAGCAGUAGGGAAUCUUCGGCAAUGGACGAAAGUCUGACCGAGCAACGCCGCGUGGGUGAAGAAGGUUUUCGGAUCGUAAAGCUCUGUUGUAAGUC
rnacentral:rRNA from 1 species